rnacentral:tRNA from 1 species
GUUUAUAUAGAUUAAGUUAAAUCGUAAGGCUGUUAACUUUGAGAUGGAUGUUGUCCUGUAAACG